CCAUCCCCGGAAUAAACACUAGGUUAAUUCCUGGGAUGCCUGGACUGUCAUAUGUUGAAAGAAUCGAGCGACUGGGCUUCUAUACAUUGUAAUUUUGAAGGAUGAGCGGGUAUCUUAUUGAAACAUAUAAGAUUAUUGAGGGAUUGGAAAUGCUAGAGGCAGGAAACAUGUUCCUGAUGUUGGGGGAGU